rnacentral:lncRNA from 1 species
AGACAACAGCGUGCCGAGCAGCUCCGGGGUGCACUGUGCCUCCUCCCAGGGAGGUUCCUCUCCGUGCCCCCCGGCCAUCACAGCGCAGGCAGCUGAGCCCGGCUGCAUCCCGCUUGGGACGUUCACUCUGAAGCGUAAUGAGGACCUUGAGCCUUCUGGAGCAGAGCUCUGCAACCCGGGGCACCCCAUCCCUGUCCCCCCCCCAGCAGCGCAGUGCUGGGACGUAUGGCAGAGCCUGCAGUGCCUCUCCUGACACUGUCGAUGUCCGUGGGACGGCCGGCACCAAAGCAGCAGUGGGACCCACCAGGAGAUGCAGCCCCUGGGCAGAGGGGCAGCACGAGGUGUCCUGCCCAGGGCAUGCAGCCAAGCCCCGGUGGCAGCGUUGGAAGCAGAAGGCCAUCCUGUCCCAUAGGGUGCGUGUGGAUGGG